rnacentral:rRNA from 1 species
CGAACGGGUGCGUAACACGUGAGCAACCUACCGAACUGUGGGGGAUAGCCGGCCUAACGGCCGAGUAAUACCGCAUACGCUUUCAGUGAGGCAUUUCAUUGAAAGGAAACCUACGGGACAGAUCGAGGGGCUCGCGGCCUAUCAGCUAGUUGGGGGGUAACGGCCUCCCAAGGCGACGACGGGUAGCUGGUCUGAGAGGAUGGCCAGCCACAUUGGGACUGAGAGACGGCCCAG